CAUCAUAUAUGUUCCAUACAAUAUAAUCAAUCUAACCACCAUUCUAUACAACUCGUCUUUAGCAUUCUUAAACAAAAAACUAAUCACAAGAAGUAAAUUGUAAAAAAAAAAAAAAAAAAAUUCGUGUGAUUUAUGAGUCCCAAAAUUUGAACUCCAACUUAAAUACAUUAGGCACAACAAUAACGUAAGCAUCUAUUAUACAAAAAGAAUCAAACCAACAU
rnacentral:lncRNA from 1 species